UACAGAGGUCUCAAGCGUUGUUCGGAUUCAUUGGGCGUAAAGGGUGCGUAGGUGGACUUGUAAGUCAGUGGUGAAAGCCCGGAGCUCAACUCCGGAACUGCCAUUGAUACUGCAGGUCUUGAGUACACUUGAGGUGGGCGGAAUACAUCAUGUAGUGGUGAAAUACUUAGAUAUGAUGUAGAACACCGAUUGCGAAGGCAGCUCACUAAAUUGUAACUGACACUGAGGCACGAAAGCGUGGGGAUCAAACAGG
rnacentral:rRNA from 1 species